GUUAGGAAUAUUGGACAAUGGGCGCAAGCCUGAUCCAGCCAUGCCGCGUGAACGAUGAAGGCCUUCGGGUUGUAAAGUUCUUUAGCCGAUGAUUAUAAUGACUGUAGUCGGAAAAUAAGCCCCGGCUAACUUCGUGUCAGCAGCCGCGGUAAUACGAAGGGGGCGAGCGUUAUUCGGAAUCACUGGGCGUAAAGCGUGCGUAGGCGGUCUCGUAAGUUAGGAGUGAAAGCCCAGGGCUCAACCUUGGAAUUGCUCUUAAAACUGCAAGGCUCGAAUCUCGGAGAGGAUAGCGGAAUUUACAGUGUAGCAGUGAAAUGCGUAGAUAUUGGAAGGAACACCAGUGGCGUAAGCGGCUAUCUGGACGAGUAUUGACGCUGAGGCACGAAAGCGUGGGGAUCAAACAGGAUUAGAAACCCUUGUAGUCC
rnacentral:rRNA from 1 species